AAGGCAAGACGUCUGCAAAGAAUUUUCUGCUGUGGUCCAGGUCAAAGAUAAAUGCUCUUACUUUCUAUGAUGGCGAUCGCAGUGGAGGUGAGAAACAAGGAGUUCCAUCCAAAACUUCUGGAACAUAGAAUGUAGGAAAGCUCAGGUUCUUGCGUAGCAGUGUUUGAGAGGUGGCUUGAUGUCUGACCAGCUGUUCAGCACCAAGAGACACCUGCGUGCUCAACAGUCAGGGCUGGAAGUGGCUGGCAGACAGGUCUGCCUUAGGGUAGCUAUCAGAAUUCCGGGGAUGACCAAGAUAAAAGCUGGAGAAUGGAGAAAAGUUGAAGUGAAUGAGCUUGAUAUGUGGAAGGCAGCAGUGGACAGCUCUCAAGUCAUCAUCAGAAUCCAGCAAGACGACAAAGCAAGAGCCACUCAGAAGACACUAGGCUAAAGUGAGGUUGGUCACAACAAUAUUAUGCCUUGGAGUUCUUCUAGCCAACAGGGCCGACGAAAAUGGCGACUCUUCGUCAGAAGAAAACUUCUGUCCUGGUAAUGGACCUGGUGUGUGCCAAAGAGGCUACUAAAAUGUGUCCAAUAUACCGCUAUCUGCUCCUGUUCUCUUACAUUCAAAUCGGCGAUUCUUUAAAAAUACAUAAGGCAUUAUUUUUAGAACAGGUAGGGUCUGUGUGCCUUUGGAAGUGAAACAGGUCGCUGUGGAAAAUAGAAUGAUAAGCCGAGUGGUUUCCUAGCACUACAGGGGGAUCAUCUUUUGCACAGAGAUGCAUUGUGUCUCUCAGUGUCAAGAAAG
rnacentral:lncRNA from 1 species